GUUUGAUCCUGGCUCAGGACGAACGCUGGCGGCGUGCUUAACACAUGCAAGUCGAGCGACGCUCCUCCUUCGGGAGGAUGACGGAGCGGCGAACGGGUGAGUAACACGUGGGCAACCUGCCCCCGGCUCUGGGAUAACUCCAAGAAAUUGGGGCUAAUACCGGAUAUUCACUGCUGACCGCAUGGUUGGUGGUGGAAAGAUUUAUCGGCUGGGGAUGGGCCCGCGGCCUAUCAGCUUGUUGGUGGGGUAGUGGCCUACCAAGGCGACGACGGGUAGCCGGCCUGAGAGGGUGACCGGCCACACUGGGACUGAGACACGGCCCAGACUCCUACGGGAGGCAGCAGUGGGGAAUAUUGCGCAAUGGGGGAAACCCUGACGCAGCAACGCCGCGUGGAGGAUGAAGCCCCUUGGGGCGUAAACUCCUUUCGACCAAGACGAUAAUGACGGUACUGGUGGAAGAAGCACCGGCUAACUCUGUGCCAGCAGCCGCGGUAAUGCU
rnacentral:rRNA from 1 species